UACGGGGGGGGCAAGCGUUGUUCGGAAUUACUGGGCGUAAAGGGCUCGUAGGCGGCCAACUAAGUCAGACGUGAAAUCCCUCGGCUUAACCGGGGAACUGCGUCUGAUACUGGAUGGCUUGAGUUUGGGAGAGGGAUGCGGAAUUCCUGGUGUAGCGGUGAAAUGCGCAGAUAUCAGGAGGAACACCAAUGGCGAAGGCAGCUCGCUGGGACGUGACUGACGCUGAGACGCGAAAGCGUGGGGAGCAAACAGG
rnacentral:rRNA from 1 species